CAGUGGGGAAUUUUGGACAAUGGGCGCAAGCCUGAUCCAGCCAUGCCGCGUGAGUGAAGAAGGCCUUCGGGUUGUAAAGCUCUUUCGGUGAAGACGAAACGGUUAGUGCUAAUAACACUGACUAAUGACGGUACUCACAGAAGAAGCACCGGCUAACUACGUGCCAGCAGCCGCGGUAAUACGUAGGGUGCAGGCGUUAAUCGGAAUUACUGGGCGUAAAGCGUGCGCAGGCGGUUUGUUAAGACAGGUGUGAAAUCCCCGGGCUUAACCUGGGAAUUGCGCUUGUAACUGGCAAGCUAGAGUGUGGCAGAGGGGGGUGGAAUUCCACGUGUAGCAGUGAAAUGCGUAGAUAUGUGGAGGAACACCGAUGGCGAAGGCAGCCCCCUGGGUUAACACUGACGCUCAUGCACGAAAGCGUGGGGAGCAAACAGGAUUAGAUACCCUGGUAGUCCACGCCCUAAACUAUGUCAACUAGUUGUCGGGGAAGAAAUUCCUUGGUAACGAAGCUAACGCGUGAAGUUGACCGCCUGGGGAGUACGGCCGCAAGGUUAAAACUCAAAGGAAUUGACGGGGACCCGCACAAGCGGUGGAUUAUGUGGAUUAAUUCGAUGCAACGCGAAAAACCUUACCUACCCUUGACAUGCUAGGAAGCCCGCAGAGAUGUGGGUGUGCCCGAAAGGGAACCUAGACACAGGUGCUGCAUGGCUGUCGUCAGCUCGUGUCGUGAGAUGUUGGGUUAAGUCCCGCAACGAGCGCAACCCUUGCCAUUAGUUGCUACAUUCAGUUGGGCACUCUAAUGGGACCGCCGGUGACAAACCGGAGGAAGGUGGGGAUGACGUCAAGUCCUCAUGGCCCUUAUGGGUAGGGCUUCACACGUAAUACAAUGGUCGGUACAGAGGGCUGCCAACCCGCAAGGGGGAGCUAAUCCCAGAAAGCCGAUCGUAGUCCGGAUUGUAGUCUGCAACUCGACUGCAUGAAGCCGGAAUCGCUAGUAAUCGCGGAUCAGCAUGUCGCGGUGAAUACGUUCCCGGGUCUUGUACACACCGCCCGUCACACCAUGGGAGUGGGUUCCACCAGAAGUAGUUAGCCUAACCGCAAGGAGGGCGAUUACCACGGUGAGAUUCAUGACUGGGGUG
rnacentral:rRNA from 1 species